AAGGACGGACAGCUCGAACCCCAGCCUUUGAGGGGACGUCGUUCAGAAAGAACCGAAAUCCAAAUGCGCUACCAUUACGCCCACGUCC
rnacentral:tRNA from 1 species